CCAAUCGUGAUUGAAUAUUUUACAGAUAUGGAUGUUGGUGCUGGACCCUCAAGCUCGGGUUUAUCCCAGUCUGUUGAAGUUAUUUUGACAAGCUCGGAGGGAUCCAGCACCGAUGCAGACCUGCCUUUGCAGGAUGCUGCUAUGGAUGUU